rnacentral:rRNA from 1 species
UUUAAUUAAAUUUUAAAAACGACGGGCAAUAUGAAUAUAUUUUAUAAUAAAUUAAAUAUCAAUAUUUAUUAAAAUUUAAUUUUAAAUCCAAUAUUAUAUUUUAUUUUAAAAUAAAAAAAAUAAAAUUAAAAUUAAUGUAUUUCAUUAUAAAUUUAAUUAUUAAAUAUAUUAUGAUUUGAAAAAUAUUAUUUAAAAAAAUUUUAUUAAUAUAUUUUAUAAAAAUUAAUUAAACAACAAUAUAUAACUUAAUUAAAAUUAAAUAAAUUAUAUUGUGGAUUAUCAAUUAAUAAACAAAAUCCUCUAAUUUUUAAAAAUACUACCAAAUUAUUUAAUUUUAAUUAUUUAAUAAUUAAAUUAAAAAUAAAUUAUUAUAAUA